rnacentral:miRNA from 2 species
GAUGGGAUUUUUCGGGAAGUG